GGUGAGAUGGCCGAGUGGUCUAAGGCGCUUGACUUAAGUUUAACUUAGCUCUCAAGUAUCGAAAGAUGCGUGGGUUCGGUACAUACUCCCACUAUCAUUG